CAAUAGCGUAUAUUAAAGUUGUUGCGGUUAAAAAGCUCGUAGUUGGAUUUCUGCUGAGAACGACCGGUCCGCCCAUUGGGUGUGUAUCUGGCUCUUUCUUGGCAUCUUCUUGGUGAACGUUACUGCACUUGACUGUGUGGAGCGCUACCCAGGACUUUUACUUUGAGGAAAUUAGAGUGUUUCAAGCAGGCAUACGCCUUGAAUACGUUAGCAUGGAAUAAUAAGAUAGGACCUCGGUUCUAUUUUGUUGGUUUCUAGAGCUGAGGUAAUGAUUAAUAGGGAUAGUUGGGGGCAUCUGUAUCAACGCGUCAGAGGUGGAAUUCUUGGAUUGCGUUGCGACAAACUACUGCGAAAGCAUUUGCCAAGGAUGUUUUCAUUGA
rnacentral:rRNA from 1 species